AACGAACGGCUGGCGGCAUGCCUAACACAUGCAAGUCGAACGAUCCCUUCGGGGAUAGUGGCGCACGGGUGCGUAACGCGUGGGAACCUGCCCUUAGGUUCGGAAUAACUGAGAGAAAUUUCAGCUAAUACCGGAUAAUGUCUUCGGACCAAAGAUUUAUCGCCUUUGGAUGGGCCCGCGUUGGAUUAGCUAGUUGGUGGGGUAAAGGCCUACCAAGGCGACGAUCCAUAGCUGGUCUGAGAGGAUGAUCAGCCACACUGGGACUGAGACACGGCCCAGACUCCUACGGGAGGCAGCAGUGGGGAAUAUUGGACAAUGGGGGAAACCCUGAUCCAGCAAUGCCGCGUGAGUGAUGAAGGCCUUAGGGUUGUAAAGCUCUUUUACCAGGGAUGAUAAUGACAGUACCUGGAGAAUAAGCUCCGGCUAACUCCGUG
rnacentral:rRNA from 1 species